UCAGCAGCCCGCGGUAAUUCCAGCUCCAAUAGCGUAUAUUAAAGUUGUUGCAGUUAAAAAGCUCGUAGUUGAACCUUGGGUCUGGCUGGCCGGUCCGCCUCACCGCGAGUACUGGUCCGGCUGGACCUUUCCUUCUGGGGAACCUCAUGGCCUUCACUGGCUGUGGGGGGAACCAGGACUUUUACUGUGAAAAAAUUAGAGUGUUCAAAGCAGGCCUUUGCUCGAAUACAUUAGCAUGGAAUAAUAGAAUAGGACGUGUGGUUCUAUUUUGUUGGUUUCUAGGACCGCCGUAAUGAUUAAUAGGGAUAGUCGGGGGCGUCAGUAUUCAGCUGUCAGAGGUGAAAUUCUUGGAUUUGCUGAAGACUAACUACUGCGAAAGCAUUCGCCAAGGAUGUUUUCAUUAAUCAGGGAACGAAAGUUAGGGGAUCGAAGACGAUCAGAUACCGUCGUAGUCUUAACCAUAAACUAUGCCGACUAGGGAUCGGACGGGCUUCUAUGAUGACCCGUUCGGCACCUUACGAGAAAUCAAAGUUUUUGGGUUCUGGGGGGAGUAUGGUCGCAAGGCUGAAACUUAAAGAAAUUGACGGAAGGGCACCACAAGGCGUGGAGCCUGCGGCUUAAUUUGACUCAAACACGGGA
rnacentral:rRNA from 1 species